ensembl:lncRNA
CAGCCUCCCAGCACACCUCUGAUCAUCCACAGAGCCUCUCUCCGGCACCUCUAACCAUCCACAAGGCGUCUGCUGCUUGAAGAGUUCACUACAAUGAAGGUGCAUUUGGUUGUUUCGGCGCUCGUCCUACUGCAGCUGGUGUGUCCAGGAUCUGCCACGGUGUUGCGCCACAAACGCAACGUCCCCGAGCUGAAGGAGAUCUUUAAUUUGGCCGUAAACUCCAGUGCUACAAUCCCUGAGAACCUGCGGAACGCCUCAGUCCCGAUAAUGGAAAAGUGUGAUGCAAAAUCAUUCUGCCAAGUACAAAAGGUCUUGCUCCAGUUUCCUGAAAAUGCUGAAAUCCAGAAACUCUGCCGUAGCCUGGUCCAAUACAAUAAUCACACCAAGAAAUGCACCAAUACUGCGCUGCAGAUGACCAACGAUACUGUCACCAUUGAACUCCAGGACCUCUUUAGAGAUUUUAUUGAUUGUAUCAGGGUGGAGAUAAUCAGUCAACCAAUGGUCCCCCCUUAUUAGAUGUUUCAGAAAUGGCAUGUAGACAUAUAUCGAUAUGGAUGUAGAAACCUCCAUGUCGAUUUUUUUUCCUUCUAAUGUGAGUCUUCUUAGAUUGUUCAGGGUCGUUUACACUCGGAUGUGUGUUCCGCAGGGUCAUGUCGAUGCAAUCUUGUUAACUGCUUCCAAGAGUGGGCGGAGUUAGCUGGUUUUCAAAGAGUUACUAUACUGCCACACAGCAAUGUUCUGCUGCCAAAAUCCGAUAAUUGUAGCAAACAAGUAUAGUUAAAAUACUUGUUUCAUUUUAUCAGUAUUAUCUAUAUAUUUAUAUUGUUUCCCAUAUAUUUAAGUAUUUUAUUGAAAUGUUUUAUUAAUGAAAAACUUGUUUUUUAAUAUGUGUACUCAAACGAUUCUUUUUUUUAUAUUUAAUGACAGAAAUAAAGAUUAAGAAAACAAAGAUGUGUUUGACAAAUACUUGUUCCAUUAAGCUAUGCAGAUCUCUCCAGAGCAGAAAGUUACCAUUUCAUAACAUUUAUUUAGCUGAUUACACUUCAUCAAAUAGGCAUACUGCUUCAAAUUAUACUUUUUCAGAAACGAGAGAUAGAGAAUGGCGGUUUUUUUCAUGGGUCAAGAUGCAAACUGUUGCGACUGAGAAUGAAUAUGAAGAUGUAUUUAUAUGAAAAUGUAUAGGGUUUCUGCUGUGCUGAUGUGUGAAUCCUUCUUGGUAUCGUGCACUUGCUCCUUAAAAUAUUCUAUGCCUUACAAAUUAAAACAUA